GGCUUCACCUGCAACGUGUCGAUUGGACGGAUGGUCGCGGCGCGUGGCUCCGGCCCGGGGCACGGACGCCCAACCUCUCCGUUCGCCACGUCCAAAUUAGCAAGUGCCGGGUUCUGCGGGGUUCAAGAGCUUCACCCAACACCAGUUCACGACUCUUCGUGGCGAAGCCAAAGAAAAUGCAUUCGGACGCCAGCACUUCUGGACUGUGGUCAUCAAAAAUCACCCUGACGAGCACUUUCGAUAAGAGCAAAGCCCCGAGAUUUCCUAGAGCCUCUGCUUCCCACGGGCGGCGCGAGCGCUGGACGCAGUUUAAAGCCGGGUUCUUGCCUUCAAGAAGCUUAAGAUCUAUUCGGAGUACACGAGGCUGCCGGGAAAACAAUGGGAAACAAAGGAAGGCAAAUGGAAUUAAGGGCUAAACGGUGUAGUAAGAUAAUAUAUGUGCUUUACUGACAACUAGUGAAGGUUCAAGGAGUUGGACAUUUCUUAUUAAAGUGGAUCCUGUUAUUGAAAGACCUUGAGGAGAGAAAAUGUUGAGACAGGUGAAUAAUCCUUGUAUGAAACUACAUUUCAUGGCAUUUGCGAACCCACACUCUUGCAAAAAGCAAACAUCCCUUCUUUUCUCUCCCUCUUAACCUGUUUUCUGUUUUAAUAGCACUUACCACCACCUGUAUUAUUAUUUGUAAUAUUAAUAUCAUCAUGUAUGCACCAUUUGUAUUCUGAUCUGUUGUCUCUUCGAAGAUCUAGAAUAUUAUAGCGGUGGAGCAUUUUCAUAUUGGUUAUAUCAUGAACUUCUCACAAGCGUUGCCGAGAAGCAGCCAUAUAAACACACAGGUAAUACUCCUGUGUGAAGCAGUUACACCUAGUCAUUUGGAGCUUUGAUCUAUGUAGAUUAGAUCAGAUGUAUAUUCAGUCCUAUAGACCAAACCAUAGUCAUAAUAAUCUGAACCUAAUUCUUUCAUGUUUCCUAGUUUUUGUUAGGUUUAAUGGUCACAUCUAAGAUUUCUAAAGGCACACACAAAUGCAUAAGCAUUAUAUGGAAACACAAAUACUGAAAUUACUCUUUCUUAGUAAUGGUAUUGCGGUUUUCCUUUUUUUUUUUUUUUUUUUUAUUUAUUUGACAGAGAGAGAGAUCACAAGUAGGCAAUUGCUGUUUUUCUAAGACAGGGUAGGGCUGAUCUUCUACCUCUUUGGAGAACUACUCCAGAGACCCACUCCAGAGUUGCUGCGCCCCUUGAUACACAGCAGCCAACCCAAACCCCUCUACGUGCAGAUUUCCUGUUGUUAGAACAUGGAUUCCAGGAGGGGUGUUAAGUUGCAGAGCAAAGACCCCAUGGGGCUUUCCGGAAACACUACCUUGAGUUUCCCAGGGAAUACCAUUACCUUCAGAAUAAGACCCAAACUCACUCAAGCGUUGACCUUUAACCUACUUGUAAAAGCAACAACAAAAACACAAAACAAAAAACAAAACCAAAAAACCCCACAGAGCCCACCUUCCCUUUCCUAUUCCAAUCCCCUUCACCAAAAUUGGGUGGUUCUUCUCUAUUUUCUUUUCAUCCCUUUCUGAACCCAGUAAUUCCAUUCCAGCCCAUUCACUUUUGCAAGUGUGGAGGAAAAAAUGAAUUCUCCAACUCCUUAAUUACAUCCACCCUUCCCUUCAAUUUCUAGAUCAAGUCCCACCUCAUCUGAGGAUAUUUUCAGUCCACCAGGCCUGAACUGAUUUCUGUAACAACUGCAAGUUUUUCAAUGAGGUAUGAGCCCUCACCACCAUGCCCCUGCCUCCCACUCCUUGCACGUGGAAAUGUGUAGAGGAAUUUGUAUGGUCAGUUAUCAGAUGACUAGGGGAUAGUACUGACGUGCAUGAUGUGGGUGCCAGAGAUAUGACACACACCAAGUUGGUCAUUUGGCCUUUCAUUAGGAAGAACUGGCCCAAAAGGAAAAGAAUACUGCCACAAGCUAUUUACAUUCAACCAUACUGGUUCAACCACAUUGAAACUGUUGGUAUUCAAUCAUAUGAAAUUGCCAAUCACAGGAAAUAACCAUCAUUGCCCUAUAAUAAAAAGGCAAUUUCAUAAGGCUAAACUUAAUAUUGUAUACUUACUUCUCCAGUCUUUCCAAUUACUUAUCUAACUACUUAAGGAGCUAGACAAGCAUCUACACUAUCCAUCUAUUCCCAGCACCUGAUGGUUGGUUAGCAAUCUCAGGAGUUCCCCUGGUGAAAUUUUUAAUUGGUCCCUGUACACAGAGAAUGAGGAAGGACUGAAGAAAAAGAGAGACCACUCCGGAUUGUUGGGUGGCAGUUUUAAUAGUUUUAAUAGGCAGGACCAUUUGCCUACAAGGCCUGUCUUGGGCAGCCACAAGAUAAAUGGAUCUCAGCACCUCCCCACCAGAAUCAUAAGACUUUAUAUAGAGUUCUUCAUGGGGCUCAGUCAUGUGUGCAGUCCAGCUGAUCUCAAAGCUGUAUCCUUGACAUGGCUCCUAAGGUGAGAAUAAUGGGUAGAACGGGCAUUCCAAGGACAGGGCAGGGGGUAAGGACCUUCCAAUUAACCAGAACCAGCUUGUGACUCAACUGACUGUCACCUCCUCUCAAUGACCUCCUCUACCAGUGGCACAAUUCCAGGCAUGCAGUGGUGCCUCCAUACAUUAUGAAGUUUGGGGUUUGUCUGGUUGGUUUUUUUUGUUUUUUGUUUUUUGUUUUUUAAAUGACUAUUAGAAACCACUUUCCCAAGCGGUCUUGCUGACUCUGGCUCAGAAAAGCUAAUCCUAGAGACCAUGCAGCUUGUAAGUGGAAGGUGGCAUCUCUUCUCCAUGGUAUUCAUUGCCCAUUGUCCAUUCAAUGGGAGAAGAUCUCUCUCCUUAUUCCUCAGACUCCCUGACACUCCCUGGCACUUCUCAUGAACGACCUUUGCCUCCAGGGACCACAAGCCUUUCAAUAAAACCAUUUUCAAGGAUCAUCCGGAUUCAUGAAAUUCGGAACAUUAUUUCAUAACAUUGCAAAUAUGCAUUUCCUAACUCCUAGUCAGGAAGCACAAAAAGCAAUGCUCUAAAAAGACAAGAUGUUGGAUUAUAUUUCACAGCAUCAUUUAUCAAGGGAAAAACUCUCACCUGAGGCUGCUAAUGACACUGGUGGAGGUAUUCUGCCAGCUCUCUUGACCAAAAGAGAGGAUCCCAAGAGAUGCGAACACUCUUGUCCAUGGCCCAGUCAACACAUGCAAAGCCCAUGAAUUGCCCAGCAAUCAAUCAGUCAAUCAAUAGAAGCAGGAGGUGUGGGGGAGUAUAUUUAUCUCACAACAUCUUUCAUAUCAAGCACUGAUACCACAGGGUAAGGCCUGAAGUUUAUGAUUUGGGAUUCCUCUUCAAGGAAAAGAGUUGAAAUUUUUUUAAGAUUUUAUUUAUUUAUUUGACAGAGAGAGAGUCAGUGAGAGA